rnacentral:rRNA from 1 species
GACGAACGCUGGCGGCGUGCUUAACACAUGCAAGUCGAACGAAGUGGCGAACGGGUGAGUAACGCGUAAUCAACCUGCCCUUCAGCGGGGGACAACAGUUGGAAACGACUGCUAAUACCGCAUAAUGAAGGAGGGGAAUGAGUCGGAUUAGCUAGGUGGGGGGGAAAUGGCCCACCAAGGCGAUGGUCAGUAGCCGGGCUGAGAGGGUGACCGGCCACAUUGGGACUGAGACACGGCCCAGACUCCUACGGGAGGCAGCAGUGGGGAAUCGUCCGCAAUGGACGAAAGGCUGACGGAGCAACGCCGCGGUAGUGAUGACGGCCUUCGGGUUGUAAAGCUCUGUUAAUCGGUACGCGGUACCGGAAUAGAAAGCCACGGCUAACUACGUGCCAGCAGCCGCGGUAAUAC